GCACUAUAGAAUAAUCAACAUCCUUAUGUUUUUCACCAUGGAAGUCCUCUCCAUUGAUACCAAGUUGGCCAUCCAUAUAAUAGUCAAGGAUGUUGAUAAACUAGAUAAAUCAGUUCAAUAUUAUUAUAACAAAUAACAAAUACACAAAGAAUUUAUGUGAUUUAAUUUCGCCAAAAGACUAAGAAUAUUAAGGAUACAUAUAUUGUAGCCCCAACACCAAACAGAUCCAUCAUCUGUCAAACACAAGUAGUAUAAACAAUUAAAUAGGAGAAAAAACAUUUAAAUUUCAUUUUCUUUGUAUUGUCCUAAGUUUGCAUUACAUAGCCAUUCAUUUUAUUUUACCAGAUUGCAAUUUUGAAUACAUCAUAUGUCGUUUCUUAUCCAUUUAUCAAACAAGUCGUAAAAAAAAAUCACAUAAUGCACACAAUAUUCAUUUUUAAUUAUAAAUAAACAUCUUAGGUAUAAGUAUGUGUCCCAUCAUCACAAAAGAAAUUAACUUCUUUCUUAUUAAUGUUUAAAAAAUAUUGAAUAUCCCACUUUAACAAGAAAUAAAAUAUUUUAUAUUAUAUAAAUGAAAUGUAGAUCUCAUCUUGUCUUAUAAACGAGAUUUAUAAAAUUGAAUAGACUUAAAAUCUACUUCUCUUUAAAAUUUAAAGAAACUAUAGCACAUGUAUCAUCUUUAUCAAACUUAGUUUUAAACUAUGUUUUCAUCAAUGUAUUGAAAUGACACAUAUGAAAGAAAGAUGCAAAAGAAGAACCUAAAACAUUAAAAAAAAAUAGUUGCAAUAUUCAUACAACAAUACUUUUUCCUUUCAAUAUCUCUCUCCUUUAGCCUUAGUUAUAUCUUCUCUCUCUUUCUUGCCUCUUUGUAAUAUAUUCUCAUAAAAAUUGUUGUAUAAAUAAUAUUUUUUCUAAAAAACACCUAGAACUAUUUCAAACCAUAAAUCAUUAGUAUGAAACCAACACUAACCAUAUAUGACUUAAAUGAAUGUCAACUUAUUCUUAUAAGUUAACCUUUUAUAUAUUUAAAGAAAUAAUUAUGAUAAAAUUCACUCAAUUUUACAAUUGCAUAGAAAACUCACCCAUUAAUAUGAUACAUUAUAUAUUUUAUUUAUACUACAAAUUUUACAAUAUUAUGAUAGCAUAUGAGCAUGUAUUAAGAAAAACACUUAAUAUAGUAUUAUAACACAUGAAUUUGACUUAAUAUAAUCAUUUUUAUUCAACUCUAUUGGUUUGCAAAUUAUGUAAAAUAAAAUUCAGUCUAUUUUAAAAUUGAAAUAUUCAAAUAGAUUAUAUAUAUAUGUGAAUUAUGUAUUUUAUAGUAAAAAAAUAACAAUAUAAUAAUAUAAAAUAAUUAUGUUGGAACAAACUUAACUGGGUAAUACAAUACAUAACUUUUAACUUGAUAGUAAUUUUGAAAUUUUAUUUUUUGGUUUGAGUGGUAAUUUAUUAUUCAUAUUGAUAGAUGAUGUCUUAAUCUCUUUAUCUACAUGUGUAGAUCAUCUUGAGGUGUAGAUCGUCUAGCUAGCUAGGUUGUCUAAUGGCCAACAAUAUGUCUUUUUAUUGUCCCUUAUAUAUGAGCAAUUAGAAUUCAUUAGUAAAUGUAGAUUAUUUAGCUAUAGGUAAAUCCUCUAAUAGCCAACAAUGUACCAUUUUAUUAUCCUCUAUAUAUGAGUAACUUGUAUUCACUCUAGUAAAGUGAAAAUGAGAUAAGAAUUCAAUUAUAUAUAUAAGUUAUUUAAAAUUAAAGAAAACUAUUUAUAUAAAUACUCUUUUAAUUUAAUAAUGGAUGAAAAUAAGAUUUACAUUAAAAUAAUAUUUUUACUUAUAAGCUGUUUCUAAAUUUUCGAUAAAAAAUAACAACAAGAUAAACAAGAGAAUGCAAAUUCUACCCCACAUUAGAUCAUCAAAACUUACACACGAAUCUCAAAUAUUUUCAAUGAUUUUUAAUGUUUUUCUUUUCCUCGUGACUUAAAAAUUAGGCAAACUCUAAAAAAAGGUGUAUAAUUAACACAUCAAGCGUGUUUAAAAUAAGACGAACAAAAUUUAAAGUAUACACCAUACAUGAACUUGAAAAUUUUACAAGAACAAGUUUUUUUUUUUUAUUUUUCACUCUGUCUAGUAAAUACUAACUAAUUAAGUUUACUAAUUUUUUUAACGAGUUUAUCAUAAUUGUUAGUCCAUAUAAAUAUAUCAAAUUUUGACUUUACUUUCUAUACUUCUUUAAAAUGAUAUUAAAUCCUUAUAAAUUUUAAAACUUUUAAAAAAAUAAUAUACUUCAUGAUACGUUUAGCUAGGACAACAUGUCUACGAAACAACUACAUCAUUAAUGAAUGAUAUUAAAAUUCAUUAAAAAAAAUCUUAAGGAAUUAAUGCUAGAUGAAUUUAAGAUGGAUUAGCACAAUUUGCUCUAUUUUGACUAAUCCCUCAAUUAAGUUAGUGCCAAAUAUUGCUAGUGUCAAUAAUGUGACCGCUAAUAUUAAAGUUAAUUAUAAGGAUUAUUAUUGUAAAACACUAGUUAGUAAAUAUUGAUGUGAUGUAUUUUGUAUAAACUUGUUACGUAUAUGAGUGAAUCUAUAUCAAUUUUAAAGUGUACAAAUCCUCAUUUCUCAUUAAUCUAUAAUUGAGAUAUCACAUAAAACUUGAUAUAAUGGAUCAAAUAUCUUUUUUGCAUUUCUAGUUAAUUGAACAAAUAUUUUAAUGUAUUAUACAUGUUAUAUAUAUAAAUAUAAUUUUAGUAUAUUUAAAACAUGUAUUAUACUCUGCUAGAAAUCCUAAUUUUAUUUAUACUAAAUUAGUAAAUUUUGAUUUUAGUUCUUACAUUUUUUUUUUAACUUUUAUAUCUCUAAGAUUUGAAAUUUUGCAUUUGAUCCCUACUAUAAAUUAUACUCGUUAAUAACUUGGAUUAUUAAAAGGUCAAAUUACUUAUUUUCAUAUAAUACUCGACAAUAUCAACAUUUGGUACAUUUUUUUUUUUUUUUGAAGAUUCCAUUUUAUUUAAUUAACUCAAAAUAAGCUCUAGGGACCAAAAAUUAUAAUUUCAUAUUUUAGAAAAAUUAAAAUAAAAGAAAAAUAUUUUAAAUAUCAAAAUCAAAAUUUGCUCAAACACAAUUAUAUUAUAUUAUAUAUUUGUUAAAUAUAUUUUUCGUAGUAUUAAGUAAAAUUAUUAUUAUUUUCAUAAUUUUAGAUCUCUGAAUAGUAGUUAUAGUAAAAGAAUUAUUCAAAUAAGUUCUUAGUAUAUAAGAAACGAUUUUUUUAGAAUAUAUUAUAUUACAAUAUUAUGAUAUUUGAAUCAAUAAAAUAUUUUAAUAUAUUAGUUUAUAUUAAAAAUUUAUUUAUCACGUAAAUAAAAUUGAUAAAAAAUCAUUUUAACAAUUUUUUAAUAAAAAGAAUCAGAAAAUAUAAGUUUGAGAAGAAAAUCAAUAAAUAUUAAGUAACAGAACCUG
rnacentral:lncRNA from 1 species